UACGUAGGGGGCAAGCGUUGUCCGGAAUCAUUGGGCGUAAAGAGCGCGUAGGCGGUCCGGUAAGUCCGCUCUGAAAGUCCGGGGCUCAACCUCGGAACUGCCUUUGAUACAGCACGUCUCGAGUCCGGAAGAGGUGGGUGGAAUUCCUAGUGUAGAGGUGAAAUUCGUAGAUAUUAGGAAGAACACCGGUGGCGAAGGCGGCCCACUGGUCCGGUACUGACGCUGAGGUGCGAAAGCGUGGGGAGCAAACAGG
rnacentral:rRNA from 1 species